GAUGAACGCUGGCGGCGUGCCUAAUACAUGCAAGUCGAGCGAACAGACGAGGAGCUUGCUCCUCUGACGUUAGCGGCGGACGGGUGAGUAACACGUGGAUAACCUACCUAUAAGACUGGGAUAACUUCGGGAAACCGGAGCUAAUACCGGAUAAUAUAUUGAACCGCAUGGUUCAAUAGUGAAAGACGGUUUUGCUGUCACUUAUAGAUGGAUCCGCGCCGCAUUAGCUAGUUGGUAAGGUAACGGCUUACCAAGGCAACGAUGCGUAGCCGACCUGAGAGGGUGAUCGGCCACACUGGAACUGAGACACGGUCCAGACUCCUACGGGAGGCAGCAGUAGGGAAUCUUCCGCAAUGGGCGAAAGCCUGACGGAGCAACGCCGCGUGAGUGAUGAAGGUCUUCGGAUCGUAAAACUCUGUUAUUAGGGAAGAACAAAUGUGUAAGUAACUAUGCACAUCCUGACGGUACCUAAUCAGAAAGCCACGGCUAACUACGUG
rnacentral:rRNA from 1 species